UACGAAGGGUGCAAGCGUUACUCGGAAUUACUGGGCGUAAAGCGUGCGUAGGUGGUGAGUUAAGUCUGUCGUGAAAGCCCCGGGCUCAACCUGGGGAUGGCGAUGGAUACUGGCUCGCUAGAGUGCGGUAGAGGAGAGUGGAAUUCCCGGUGUAGCAGUGAAAUGCGUAGAGAUCGGGAGGAACAUCAGUUGCGAAGGCGGGUUGCUGGGCCGACACUGACGCUGAUGCGCGAAAGCCAGGGGAGCGAACGGG
rnacentral:rRNA from 1 species